CAAAGGUGGAAGUAGGAACAAAGGUCUACGUACGCAUCACUUGACGAGUGGCUCGAGGGACAUUUGGCAAAGAUAUUGCAAGAAAAUCGAAGAUCAAGAAGAAGUGAGAAAAAAAGAGAGCCUUUUAAGCUCCUUCACAGUUCUUAUAGACUUUAAGCUUUUUGGCAUUUUGAAAGAGUUUUGGAUUUCAGUCUUGAGGAAGUUUAGUAUAGAUGUUACUCUCUCUUUUUCUUAUGAAGGUUCUGCUUCAGUCACAGUAAUAAUGCUCAGAGUAAAUAAGUGGCUGCUUCAGUCUAAUUUCUCCGUAUUAUGUUUUAUUAUCUGUUCUGUCCUCUGUUUCUUUUUUGCCUUUGUUAUAUGUGUGUGUGUUCUUGAAAGAUCUAUGCAGAAUCAAAAACUAUCUUUUCUAAUCUUUAAGCUAAUAAAAAAGAUUAGUUACUUAUUUAA